rnacentral:rRNA from 1 species
UACAGAGGGGGCGAAGCGUUAUUUCGGAAAUUAUUGGGGCGUAAAGGGCGCGUAGGCGGCCUGGCAAGUGGAAGGUGAAAUCCCUCGGCUUAACCGAGGAACUGCCCUCCAAACUGCUUGGCUUGAGUCCGGGAGAGGUGAGUGGAAUUCCCAGUGUAGCGGUGAAAUGCGUAGAUAUUGGGAGGAACACCAGUGGCGAAGGCGGCUCACUGGACCGGAACUGACGCUGAGGCGCGAAAGCGUGGGGAGCAAACGGG